CUACGGGUCGCAGCAGUGGGGAAUAUUGCACAAUGGGGGGAACCCUGAUGCAGCAACGCCGCGUGGAGGAUGACACAUUUCGGUGCGUAAACUCCUUUUAUAUAAGAAGAUAAUGACGGUAUUAUAUGAAUAAGCACCGGCUAACUCCGUGCCAGCAGCCGCGGUAAUACGGGGGGUGCAAGCGUUACUCGGAAUCACUGGGCGUAAAGAGCAUGUAGGCGGGUAGAAAAGUUGGAAGUGAAAUCCUAUGGCUUAACCAUAGAACUGCUUCCAAAACUCUUUACCUAGAAUAUGGGAGAGGUAGAUGGAAUUUCUGGUGUAGGGGUAAAAUCCGUAGAGAUCAGAAGGAAUACCGAUUGCGAAGGCGAUCUACUGGAACAUUAUUGACGCUCAGAUGCGAAAGCGUGGGGAGCAAACAGGAUUAGAUACCCGAGUAGUC
rnacentral:rRNA from 1 species